rnacentral:tRNA from 1 species
UCCCCGGUGGUCUAACGGUAGGACGCCCGGCCUUACAACUGCGGAGGUCCAGGUCCGAAUCCUGGUCGGGGAA